AAUCCUAGGACCCCUAUACUGUAAAUAUAGUUUAAGAAAAACAUUAGAUUGUGAAUCUAAUAAUACGAGCUCAAACCUCCUUAUUUACC
rnacentral:tRNA from 1 species